UACGGAGGGGGCUAGCGUUGUUCGGAAUUACUGGGCGUAAAGCGCACGUAGGCGGCUUUGCAAGUUAGAGGUGAAAGCCCGGGGCUUAACCCCGGAAUUGCCUUUAAAACUGCAUCGCUAGAAUUGUGGAGAGGUGAGUGGAAUUCCGAGUGUAGAGGUGAAAUUCGUAGAUAUUCGGAAGAACACCAGUGGCGAAGGCGGCUCACUGGACCGGUAUUGACGCUGAGGUGCGAAAGCGUGGGGAGCAAACAGG
rnacentral:rRNA from 1 species